AUUGAACGCUGGCGGCGGGCUUAACACAUGCAAGUCGAGCGGAGAUGAGGUGCUUGCACCUUAUCUUAGCGGCGGACGGGUGAGUAAUGCUUAGGAAUCUGCCUAUUAGUGGGGGACAACAUUCCGAAAGGAAUGCUAAUACCGCAUACGCCCUACGGGGGAAAGCAGGGGAUCUUCGGACCUUGCGCUAAUAGAUGAGCCUAAGUCGGAUUAGCUAGUUGGUGGGGUAAAGGCCUACCAAGGCGACGAUCUGUAGCGGGUCUGAGAGGAUGAUCCGCCACACUGGGACUGAGACACGGCCCAGACUCCUACGGGAAGCAGCAGUGGGGAAUAUUGGACAAUGGGCGGAAGCCUGAUCCAGCCAUGCCGCGUGUGUGAAGAAGGCCUUUUGGUUGUAAAGCACUUUAAGCGAGGAGGAGGCUACCUGGAUUAAUACUCUAGGAUAGUGGACGUUACUCGCAGAAUAAGCACCGGCUAACUCUGUGCCAGCCGCCGCAGUAAGAC
rnacentral:rRNA from 1 species